GUCAGCUGCUGCCGCCGCCGCCGUGCCGCUGCGGCCGGGGAAUUGGGCCGGGGUCUCCACCGCCGACCGAGGGGAGCGGGCUCCGCUCGGCGCUGCUUUUUGCGACCUGGCCGUCAGCCCCACGUCGCCGGCCUGGAGGGGCGAAGAGGACGAGGGGGCCAAGGCUUCCUCCGGGGACAUUGGCUCCCUGGAUUAUCAAGAGUUUGUAGUUGACAUUGAAUCCAGGUUGAGGAUGGAAGGUGUGGAACUUAAAGAAGAAUGGCAAGAUGAAGAUUUUCCCAUACCUUUACCAGAAGAUGACAGUAUUGAAGCAGAUAUACUAGCUAUAACUGGACCAGAGGACCAGCCUGGCUCACUAGAAGUUAAUGGAAAUAAAGUGAGAAAGAAACUAAUGGCUCCAGACAUUAGCCUGACACUGGAUCCUAGUGAUGGCUCUGUAUUGUCAGAUGAUUUGGAUGAAAGUGGGGAGAUUGACUUAGAUGGCUUAGAUACACCGUCAGAGAAUAGUAAUGAGUUUGAGUGGGAAGGUAAAUGUUUCACUGUUUUUAAUCUGAUCUUUAUUAGUGUAUUUUGUUGGAAAUACGUCAUUCUUUCUAAAGUUCAUAUAUUUGUUACUAAGAUAGGAAAUUCUGCUAACCCUUGAAUAUUCUCAAGGACUUAAAAAGUGUGUAUAUAGUAGAGUACACCAGUGGCUUUUUUCCCCUCAUAUUUGCCCAGUGCUGUCAUGUUUUUUUCAUAGUUGUUUCAAAAAUAUUUCUUGAUAAUUAUGGCAUGCUCUUUUUCAGUCAAUCAAGUAAGAAACUUUUGAAGAGACAUAUAGUUAACAGUUUGGGGGAAGGGAGUUCUGAAAGGAGAUGUUU
rnacentral:sRNA from 1 species